rnacentral:rRNA from 1 species
CAUGAAGUUGGAUUCGCUAGUAAUCGCGCAUCAGCCAUGGCGCGGUGAAUACGUUCCCGGGCCUUGUACACACCGCCCGUCAAGCCAUGGGAGUUGGGGGUGCCUGAAGUACGUGACCGCAAGGAGCGUCCUAGGGCAAAACCGAUGACUGGGGCUAAGUCGUAACAAGGUAAC